AUAACCAGCCUCAGAUCAUCAGCUUCUAUAGGCCACUCAUUAAUGUAUGCCAGUAAGGGAAUAGAAGGAGAGUCAUUACUUCUUCUCUGGCACAUUGUAAUAUAUAAACGUAUGGCUAUUAACUGGUUGUUCCAAGCUUACAGAGUUCAAUCCAACCCAUAGUUUAUAGAACCUAAGGUGAAGUUUUGCAUUAUUUUAUUUUUGCAGAAUGUUCCGUACCAGUGAAUACUUCAGAAGACAGUAGCAGUUUAUCCUUUAGUACUGCAAAGAGUUGGCUAUCGCAACCGCCUGAGGAUAAUCUGGUACAUGGGACAGAAACUUCAGAGAGCAAAGCUGAGAGUGAUUCUGAUAAACUUCUACCCCAGGAACCUGAAAGUUCAUUAAUUGCUGCCCAUCCUGCCCAGGAAGAGGAGUUGGCAGAGAGAGGAGAGAGUGAAGGUGCAUGUGCACCUCAGGAGCCUCCAGACUCAGCUGAUCUGCAAAUGUCUUGGAGCUCUCUUGAAGACUUUGAUUUCUGUGAAUGGAUUGGGAAAGGAAGUUAUGGAGCGGUGAGUUACUCAUCCCUAAAUAAGAUUCAGUUGUUUAUUAGCAUAUUCAGGGAAACUUAAUGAACUUGCUUUCAUUCCAGGUCUUUCUAGGAGAACAUAAGAAAACAAGAAAGUUGGUUGCCAUCAAACGUGUAUCAAAGGCAGUCGUUUUUAGCACUUUACAAAUGGAACGUCUUUUUGAGGAGAAAAGCAUCUUAAAGAUGGCGAGAGAUGAGAAAGCCCCUUUCCUUGUGGGUUUAGUCUGUUCAUUCCAGAGGAAACACAAUCUUUACUUAGCGAUGGAAUUUUGCAAUGGAGGCGACUUAGCAGCUCAACUGAAAAAUGGUGCACUCCCACCAAGCAGCACUUUGUAAGUCAUUUUAGGCAUUUUAUAACUGUUAACAUUUGGCAAUAGGCUAACAAUUGCUUAAGUAGUACCAUAAGUAU